UACAGAGGUCCCAAGCGUUGUUCGGAUUCAUUGGGCGUAAAGGGCUCGUAGGUGGCCAACUAAGUCAGACGUGAAAUCCCUCGGCUUAACCGGGGAACUGCGCCUGAUACUGGAUGGCUUGAGUUCGGGAGAGGGAUGCGGAAUUCCAGGUGUAGCGGUGAAAUGCGUAGAUAUCUGGAGGAACACCGGUGGCGAAGGCGGCAUCCUGGACCGACACUGACGCUGAGGAACGAAAGCCAGGGGAGCAAACGGG
rnacentral:rRNA from 1 species